rfam:Heterocephalus glaber contig143972, whole genome shotgun sequence.
UCAAAGGCUCUUUUCAGAGCCACCCACCUCAUCAUUGAAAGCAGCU